CUCCCCAGAGUCCUAACAAUGACUUAUAUAAUAGCAGUUCAGCACUGAGAACUUAUGCAUGAAGAGGCAACCUGUGUGUGACAGAAGGGCACUGUGCAGGAA
rnacentral:miRNA from 1 species